UUUUGUGCAUAUANGUNUAUNUAUAUAUAUAUAUAUGCGUAUGUGUACAUGUACAACAAACCAACCAAAAACACAAACGAGAGAGAAGAAACUUCGUAGUGUGUUUGUGUGUGUGAUUCGUCACAUAUACUACUACAUGCUUCUUUGUUUUCCUUCUAUUUUCUGCAUUGUGUGUUGUGUGUUGUGUGUUAUGUAUUUAUAUGCAUUUCUCACUACUCACAAAACGUUUUUGUUCACAGACCUGAGUGUGGCAGGACUACCCGCCGAACUUAAGCAUAUUACUCAGCGGAGGAAAAGAAAACAACCGUGAUUCUCUCAGUCAGCGGCGAGCGAAGAGGGAUCCAACUCGUUGCCGAAUCGGGCCUUAUAGGGCUUUGAGUUGUGGCAAGAGCGUCGCUUUGAGGGCUGGUGCAGGAAUGGCGAAAUUCAAUUGCAAAGCAAACCCAUUGCUGAAUACAACCCUUCAUGUGAGUAUGAGCCAAAGA
rnacentral:rRNA from 1 species